GAUGAACGCUGGCGGCGUGCCUAAUACAUGCAAGUAGAACGCUGAAGGAGGAGCUUGCUCUUCUGGAUGAGUUGCGAACGGGUGAGUAACGCGUAGGUAACCUGCCUGGUAGCGGGGGAUAACUAUUGGAAACGAUAGCUAAUACCGCAUGACAACAGUUAUUGCAUGAUAACUGUUUAAAAGGGGCAACUGCUCCACUACCAGAUGGACCUGCGUUGUAUUAGCUAGUUGGUGAGGUAACGGCUCACCAAGGCGACGAUACAUAGCCGACCUGAGAGGGUGAUCGGCCACACUGGGACUGAGACACGGCCCAGACUCCUACGGGAGGCAGCAGUAGGGAAGCUUCGGCAAUGGACGGAAGUCUGACCGAGCAACGCCGCGUGAGUGAAGAAGGUUUUCGGAUCGUAAAGCUCUGUUGUAAGAGAAGAACGAGUGUGAGAGUGGAAAGUUCACACUGUGACGGUAGCUUACCAGAAAGGGACGGCUAACUACGUG
rnacentral:rRNA from 1 species